rnacentral:piRNA from 1 species
UAGCGGUCUUUGAAGUAGAAGGCGUUG